rnacentral:snRNA from 10 species
UCAACGCAGAUCACUAUCCACCAUCAUGGUGCCGCCGAUUUGCCCGAGAUCUGAAGAAGUGCUUAGAGGACCUCGCAUUGCAGCCGCUGGCGCCUGUGCUCCCAGUCGAGGAGACGCCGAGGGCGAGCAGUAGACAAAGCAAUGCGCGUCGCUGGGAGUGAAAUUGGCAUGAGAGUGUCU